UGAAUUUCCACAGUACCUCUACGUCGCUGC
rnacentral:piRNA from 1 species